rnacentral:rRNA from 1 species
GACGAACGCUGGCGGCGUGCCUAAUACAUGCAAGUCGAACGAGAGCGACCGGUGCUUGCACUGGUCAAUCUAGUGGCGAACGGGUGAGUAACACGUGGGUAACCUGCCCAUCAGAGGGGGAUAACAUUCGGAAACGGAUGCUAAAACCGCAUAGGUCUUCGAACCGCAUGGUUUGAAGAGGAAAAGAGGCGCAAGCUUCUGCUGAUGGAUGGACCCGCGGUGCAUUAGCUAGUUGGUGAGGUAACGGCUCACCAAGGCCGUGAUGCAUAGCCGACCUGAGAGGGUGAUCGGCCACAUUGGGACUGAGACACGGCCCAAACUCCUACGGGAGGCAGCAGUAGGGAAUCUUCCGCAAUGGACGCAAGUCUGACGGAGCAACGCCGCGUGAGUGAAGAAGGUUUUCGGAUCGUAAAACUCUGUUGUUAGAGAAGAACAAGUGCUAGAGUAACUGUUAGCGCCUUGACGGUAUCUAAUCAGAAAGCCACGGCUAACUACGUG